rnacentral:rRNA from 1 species
GACGAACGCUGGCGGCGUGCUUAACACAUGCAAGUCGAACGGAAAGGCCCUGCUUUUGUGGGGUGCUCGAGUGGCGAACGGGUGAGUAACACGUGAGUAACCUGCCCUUGACUUUGGGAUAACUUCAGGAAACUGGGGCUAAUACCGGAUAGGAGCUCCUGCUGCAUGGUGGGGGUUGGAAAGUUUCGGCGGUUGGGGAUGGACUCGCGGCUUAUCAGCUUGUUGGUGGGGUAGUGGCUUACCAAGGCUUUGACGGGUAGCCGGCCUGAGAGGGUGACCGGCCACAUUGGGACUGAGAUACGGCCCAGACUGCUACGGGAGGCAGCAGUGGAAAAUAUUGCACAGUGAGCGGAAGCCUGAUGCAGCAGCGCCGCGUGCGGGAUGACGGCCUACGGGUUAUGAACCGCUUUCGCCUGUGACGAAGCGUGAGUGACGGUAAUGGGUCAAGAAGCACCGGCUAACUACGUG